AAAAUAACAAUGAUUUCCCUAGUAACGGCGAGUGAAGAGGAAAGAGCUCAAAGUUGGAACCUGUUUGGCCUAGCUAAACAGGAUUGUAAACUGUAGAAGUGGUUUUCCAGGCAAUCCGAGUUAAUAAGUCCUUUGGAACAGGGCAUCAUAGAGGGUGAGAAUCCCGUCUUUGAUUCGAGAAACUUUGCCUUUUGCGAUACACUUUCAAAGAGUCAGGUUGUUUGGGAAUGCAGCCUAAAUUGGGUGGUAAAUCUCACCUAAAGCUAAAUAUUGGCGAGAAACCGAUAGCGAACAAGUACCGUGAGGGAAAGAUGAAAAGAACUUUGAAAAGAGAGUUAAACAGUAUGUGAAAUUGUUAAAAGGGAACCGUUUGGAGCCAGACUGGCUUGUCUGUAAUCAAUCUAGGCUUUGGCCUGGAUGCACUUGCAGAUUAUGCCUGCCAACGACAAUUUGAUUUGAGGGAAAAAACUAGAGGAAAUGUGGCCAAUAUUUUUUUGUUGGUGUUAUAGUCCUUUAGAAAAUACCUUGGAUUGGAUUGAGGAACGCAGCGAAUGCUCUCUUUUUGGGGAGGGCGAGUCUUUGAUAAGUCUUUACGGAUAUGACUGGAGUUAAAAAGACCAGAAGUUGAAGUUUAAACUUGUUUUUAUGUACUUUAAUUCGCUUAGGUUGUUGGCUUAAUGACUCUAAAUGAC
rnacentral:rRNA from 1 species